rnacentral:rRNA from 1 species
CCCGCACAAGCGGUGGAGCAUUGUGGUUUAAUUCGAAGCAACGCGAAGAACCUUACCAGGUCUUGACAUCCCCUGACAACCGAGAGAUCGGCGUUCCCCUUCGGGGGACGGGGCGACAGGUGGUGCAUGGUUGUCGUCAGCUCGUGUCGUGAGAUGUUGGGUUAAGUCCCGCAACGAGCGCAACCCUCGACCUUAGUUGCCAGCAUUCAGUUGGGCACUCUAAGGUGACUGCCGGCUAAAAGUCGGAGGAAGGUGGGGAUGACGUCAAAUCAUCAUGCCCCUUAUGACCUGGGCUACACACGUGCUACAAUGGGCGGUACCAAGGGUCGCGAACCCGCGAGGGGGAGCCAAUCCCAAAAAGCCGCCCUCAGUUCGGAUUGCAGGCUGCAACUCGCCUGCAUGAAGCCGGAAUCGCUAGUAAUCGCGGAUCAGCAUGCCGCGGUGAAUACGUUCCCGGGCCUU